GUAGGUGGCAAGCUUUGUCCGGAAUUAUUGGGCGUAAAGCGCGCGCAGGCGGUCCUUUAAGUCUGAUGUGAAAGCCCACGGCUCAACCGUGGAGGGUCAUUGGAAACUGGGGGACUUGAGUACAGAAGAGGAAAGCGGAAUUCCAAGUGUAGCGGUGAAAUGCGUAGAGAUUUGGAGGAACACCAGUGGCGAAGGCGGCUUUCUGGUCUGUAACUGACGCUGAGGCGCGAAAGCGCGGGGAGCAAACAGGAUUAGAUACCCUGGUAGUCCACGCCGUAAACGAUGAGUGCUAAGUGUUAGGGGGUUUCCCGCCCCCCUUAGUGCUGCAGCUAACGCAUUAAGCACUCCGCCUGGGGGAGUACGGCCGCAAGGCUG
rnacentral:rRNA from 1 species